AAGCCCCCUUCAGUGAGGAGGGGCAAGGUGCUCAGGCCUGCCUGUGUGGCCCCCAGGAGUCAGACCUCAGCCUCAUGCUCACUGGUCCAUUUUCCUCCAGGGAAAAUGGAGUUCUUUCUGCCUUCAGAGAUGCCCACACAUAAGGCACAUGAGGCUGUUGGUGACACCAUCACCAACACUGGAGAUUCCCUUUCUGACAAGUCCCAGCCAAAGAAAGAUUUUGCAUUUGUCUUCUCUGUCCUCUGCUUGUCUCUGAUACCAGUGACUGACAGCCACCUUCCUUCUUCCCUCUCUUGGUGUGAUCAUGGCUAACUGCAGCCUCAAUCACCAGGGCUCAAUCAAUCCUCCCUCCUUAGCCUCCUGAGUAGCUGGGACUGCAGGCAUGCACCACCACACCUGGCUAAUUUUUUGUGUGUUUGUGUGGUCUAAAACUCCUGGGCUCAAGUGAUCCAUCUGCCUCGGCCUCCUUAAGUGUUGAGAUUACAGGUAUGAGCCACCACAUCCAGCUGAGAGUCUGUUCUUAAGCUAGUACAAAGAGUCAGACCCGACUUUGAAUCUCCACUUCUCCAUUUAGCUGGAUGAUCUUGGGCAAGUUAUAAAAUCUGUUUCCUCUUCACUUUAUAACGUGGGUUUCAUGAUCAUACCUCGCCACAGGGCUGUUCUGAAGACUGGACAUAGCUAUUUUAAAUGCCAGGAAAGGCCAGGCGCAGUGGCUCAAACCUGUAAUCCCAGCACUUUGGGAGGCCGAGGCAGGAGGAUCACCUGAGGUCAGGAGUUUGAGACCAGCCUGACCAACAUGGAGAAACCCCGUCUCUACUAAAAAUACAAAAAUUAGCCAGGCGUGGUGGUGCAUGCCUGUAAUCCCAGCUACCUGGGGAGCCUGAGGCGGGAGAAUCGCUUGAACCCAGGAGGCGGAGGUUGCGGUGAGCCGAGAUUGUGCCAUUGCACUCCAGCCUGGGCAACAAGAGCGAAACUCCAUCUCAAUAAAUAAAUAAAUAAGUAAAUGCCAGGAAAGGUGGUGACAAAUGGUAGCCAUAAUUAUUUAUUGUCCUCUCUGUCCAGACUAAAUGUUCCCUUUUCCAUAUUAAACAUUUACCAUUCUGCCGGACGCGUUGGCUCAUGCCUGUAAUCCCAGCACUUUGUGAGGCCUAGGCGGGCAGAUCACAAGGUCAAGAGAUCGAGACCAUCCUGGCCAAUAUGGUGAAACCCCGUCUCUACUAAAAAUACAAAAAUUAGCUGGGUGUGGUGGUGCCCGCCUGUAGUCCCAGCUACUCAGGAGGCUGAGGCAGGAGAAUCGCUUCAACCGGGGAGUGCAGUGGUGCAAUCUCGGCUCGCUGCAAGCUCCGCCUCCCGGGUUGACGCCAUUCUCCUGCCUCAGCCUCCCGAAUAGCUGGGACUACAGGCGCCCGCCAUCACGCCCGGCUAAUUUUUUUGUGUUUUUAGUAGAGACGGGAUUUCACCGUGUUAGCCAGGAUGGUCUCAAUCUCCUGACCUCGUGAUCCGCCCGCCUAAGUGCUGGGAUUACAGGCGUGAGCCACUGCGCCCGGCCUCCUUCAUCCAUUCUUAGAUCUUAUCCUCUAAACCUUUAGUCAUCGUUUCACUCUCCUUUGAUUCCUUGUUAUGGGUCUUUCAACUCUGGAAAGACAAAGAGAUAGUGGGAGAGGAAGCCCGGUCACUGAGCAUCUACAGAGGGCUAAAUAUAUUUAUUCUCAUUUGUUAUUCCCAAUAUUCUCUGUAUUGUGAUUUCCAUUUCACAGAUGAGGAAGCUGAGGGCUAGAAACAUGCAGUACUUUGCCCAAAGUCACACACAUAUUAAGAAGAGCUGAGGUAUGAAUCUGGGUCUGCCUGACUCAAAGCCCAAACGCUUUCCUUUGCAUCGUGUCACAAAGUCAUAGACCAUGACAUUGUUUGUAUCUUCAAGACCAGUUAUUAACUUUCUGGCUCCAAGGAGAUCCCCUGCCCAAGUGCCUAGGGGCAGUAGACAGCUGUCUCAGGGACAGUCGUAGCAUGUGCUGGAUUAUUAGUGCAGCAGCUGACACUUUUUCCCAGAAGGGAGAGAGGCAGCAAGUCAGAAAGUUCACGGGAAUGAGUUGGGAGGGGGUCCCAGGGAAGGGGGACAGGCUGCCAGGAGAAGGAAAGUACACGGGAGAAAAUAGUGGGGCUCUGAUGAGUUAGUAGGGUUCUGUUACCAAUAAAAUUGUUUCCAUAAACUGUA
rnacentral:lncRNA from 10 species